CAAAGGUCAAGGUCACGGUGAUCGGAAAUAGUAAAAUGAUUUUCGGAUGAUAACUCAAGAACGGUUUUGCCUAGGAUCAUGACACUUUAUAGGUACAUUGAUCGUGACUCGCAGAUGACCCCUAUUGAUUUUCAGGUCACUAGGUCAAAGGUCAAGGUCACAGUGACAAUCGUAUUCACACAAUGGCUGCCACUACAACGGACAGCCCAUAUGGGGGGCAUGCAUGUUUUACAAACAGCCCUUGUUAUAAUUUGAUUGAUGGUUUGCUUUUGUAUUAUAUUUAUGCAUACUUGAUGUUCCAUAUUGCGAAGUCAUUAAUGUGAUGAUUUAUAAAUAUUUACACUCAGUGCUAUUAUUUUUAUGUUCUGUCAUAAUGUGUUCAGGAAAACAUAAUUAUACAUUUUAUACCGACAGUUUUAUGUUUACAAAUAUCCGCACUGUGAUCUUUGUCUCUGAUGAUUUUUAUAAUAAACUGUUGAUCUGAAAAAAUGUUUGUGGUAAAUUAAAUAAAUGUACAGUUUUGUGAUGGAAAGGAUACAAAUUUCAUUUUUCGCCAUUCAACACCAUUGUAAAUAAGUACAUAUUUCAUAAAACAUCCACCUCAUUUAUGAAAUUUAAUAUGCAUAUAUUAACACUUAUAACAAGUAAAACAGUUGCGUAUACAUUAACGCGACUGACGCAUGGGAUACUUAUACAAUAUACAAUAUGUAAAAAAUGCACGUUCAGUUGGUAAUUUAAAUGUUCGUAUUUGCCUUUAAAUGAAUAUGUCAUUAGCUGGUAUAUAAUAUAUAUUAUUAUGCCCCCCUUCGAAGAAGAGGGGGUAUAUUGCUUUGCUCAUGUCGGUCGGUCGGUCGGUAGGUCGGUCGGUCGGUCCGUCCACCAGGUGGUUGUCGUAUGAUAACUCAAGAACGCUUGGGGCUAGGAUCAUGAAACUUCAUAGGUACAUUGAUCAUGACUCGCAGAUGACCCCUAUUGAUUUUGAGGUCACUAGGUCAAAGGUCAAGGUCACGGUGACCCGAAAUAGUAAAAUGGUUUCCGGAUGAUAACUCAAGAACGCAUACGCCUAGGAUCAUGAAACUUCAUGGGUAGAUUGAUCAUGACUCGCAGAUGACCCCUAUCAAUUUUGAGGUCACUAGGUCAAAUGUCAAGGUCACGGUGACCCGAAAUAGUAAAAUGGUUUCCGGAUGAUAACUUAAGAACGCAUACGCCUAGGAUCAUGAAACUUCAUGGGUAGAUUGAUCAUGACUCGCAGAUGACCCCUAUCAAUUUUGAGGUCACUAGGUCAAAGGUCAAGGUCACGGUGACCCGAAAUAGUAAAAUGGUUUCCGGAUGAUAACUCAAGAACGCAUACGCCUAGGAUCAUGAAACUUCAUGGGUAGAUUGAUCAUGACUCGCAGAUGACCCCUAUUGAUUUUGAGGUCACAAGGUCAAAGGUCAAGGUCACGGUGACCCGAAAUAGUAAAAUGAUUUUCGGAUGAUAACUCAAGAACGCUUUUGCCUAGGAUCAUGACACUUCAUAGGUACAUUGAUCGUGACUCGCAGAUGACCCCUAUUGAUUUUCAGGUCACUAGGUCAAAGGUCAAGGUCACAGUGACAAAAAUCGUACUCACACAAUGGCUGCCACUACAAUGGACAGCCCAUAUGGGGGGCAUGCAUGUUUUACAAACAGCCCUUGUUUACAUUAGAAUUCACCGUUUUGCUGUUCCGAUAAAGUACAAAUAACACAAUGAAAGUUAGAUGAAGUCUGUCAAGCCCAUUUUAGAAGUGACCAGCAUUUUAGAUUUAUUUCUUCUGGCUUUUUCCCACCUAACACCAAGGGCGCCUUUUUGUACAAAGUUUUUGUCCGUAUCAACUGCACAGCCUUUCUUCUUAUUCCCUUUUUGAUGAUCAAAGAAAUAGUUCCUGUAAGAUUACAUACCAUAUUGAGCUUUAUGAUUUUAAACAUCAGUUAGCGCAAAUAUUAUGAUAAAAAAUAUUGAAACAAAUUUAUAUGGUGCGUAUUUAAGUAUUUGUAACUAAAAACUAUUUUUCAAAUUUAAAACAUUGCUAGCCCUUUUUUUCUUUUUGUGGGGACAAAGUUGUCUGAGCAUUCACAGCAUCUUUCGCGACAAGUUGAAGCAGUUCUUGCGUCAUGUCAGCAUUACCAUGAUUCGAUCUUCUGGAAUUGACUCUAUGUAAGUUAAGCUGUGUUUUUCGUCGCAUCUUGUUAAAAUACUGAAAUAGAUCAAAUUUCAAAAGUUAUUGUUAUUAUUAGCACGUGUCUGUGUGUUCGCGUGUGUAUGUAUGUAUGUAUGUAUGUAUGUAUGUAUGUGUGUGUGUGUGUGUAUGUAUGAAUGUAUGUAUGUAUGUAUGUAUGUAUGUAUGCAUGCAUGUAUGCAUGUUUGCGUGUGUGUGCGUGUGUGUGCAUGGGCGUGUAUGCAUGUAUGUAUGUAUGCAUGCUUGUGUGUGCAUGCCCGUGUGCGUGCACGCGCGCGUCCGUUUGUUCGAGUGUU